AACGAACGCUGGCGGCAUGCCUAACACAUGCAAGUCGAACGAGACCUUCGGGUCUAUUGUCGCACGGGUUCGUAACGCGUGGGAACCUGCCCUUAGGUUCGGAAUAACUCCCCGAAAGGGGUGCUAAUACCGGAUAAUGUCUUCUGCCCAAAGAUUUAUUGCCUCUGGUUGUGCCCGCGUUGAAUUAGCUAUUUGUUAGGGUAAUAGCCUACCAAGGCGACGAUCCAUAGCUGGUCUGAGAGGAUGGUUAGCGACUCUGGGACUGAGACACGGCCCAGAAUCCUCCGGGAGGGGGGAGUGGCGGACAUUGGACAACGGCGGGAAGCCUGAUCCGGCAAUGCCGCGUGAGUGCUGAAGGCCUUAGGGUUGUAAAGCUCUUUUACCUGGGAUGAUAAUGACAGUACCGGGAGAAUAAGCUCCGGCUAACUCCGUG
rnacentral:rRNA from 1 species